rnacentral:lncRNA from 10 species
GUAGGUCCCCAACUCUUCCUUCCCCCCGUCUUCACAGCCAUUUUCCAGGGAUGCCCAUUCCUGCUGGGGUAGCCAGCUGUGACCAGGUCAGUGUGGAAAGUGAGCCCUGGGAGACCUGAGGCCUGAGGCCCUGGGCUUCCGCUUGACCUGGCUGGGUCAGCCGUGGGAGGCAGAGCCUGGCUCUGUUUAUCCAGGCCGGACACUUCCGGAGCAGAUGGGCGCCUGUCAGAGCCACCAGCCAGGAACUGGGCUGACGUCCUCUCAUUGCCAAGUGGCAGGUGACUCGAGGGCCUGGAGGGAACAUGGGUUUGGUUUGCCUGUUUAUUAGGGAACUCUCUCUCUGAGCUGGGAGCUGCCUGCACAGCUGAGUGAGCACAGGGCAGACUCUUUGACCCAAAGGGACCUGGCCCUUUCAGGCGCUGAGUGCUGGGGACUCUGUGGGGGCUCCAGGGUCUCCCCAGAAGCCAUGGCUGAGCUCUGCUUUUUGCCACCCCUACCUUGGUGUAUGCAUUUCCUGGGGUUCCUGUGACAAAGUACCACUAACCAAGUGAGUGGCUUAAAACAGAGAUGUCUUCUCUCACAGUUCUGGGGCCAGCAUUGAACGCAAGGUGUCAGCAAGUCUCCUGCCAGAGGUCCUGACGGAGGGGCUGUUCCAGGCCAUGCUCCUGGCUUCCGGUGGUUGCCGGCAACCCUGUGCAUUCCCUGCUUGUAGAGAUGAGAAAAUGGAGGUACCAAAAAGUGGGCUCUGAACUGCAGAGCCUGGCUCCAGAGCCCUUGUAUUUGACUACUGGGAUCCACCGUUAUUCUCACAGCCGCGUUUCCCACAGGGCUGCUUUGUAUGGCCUCUUAGAAAAGUCCUGCCUGUCUCCACCAUCCAGACUAUGAUGUCCGUGAGGUCAGAGGAAAGGGAGAAUGUCUCACAUACAGAAAAUGCUUGAUCAACAUUGAUGGAAUCAUAAAUGGGCCUCAGCGGCACCUGUCCUGAGUCAGCAUCUCACAGAGGUUUUGCCAGCGCCAGCCACAUCUCCAGCAUGAAGGUGAUUGUCUGAGUGUGUCCAGUCCAGUUCCUGCCUUAAUAAAAAUCACUGCUGCAAGGGAGAGGGCUGCCAAGGCCCUGCCUCCCUCCAACCCCAUCCUAGCCUGAGUCUUAACCAUUCUUCCAAUCCAGUUCCACUUUGGGCCAGUGCUUAACCCAGGGUAGCACUUUUGAGCCUCGCAACUCUUGGGAGUGAGUUUUCAUCCUAACGUUCUCAGAUGAGGAAAUUGGGCCUCAAAGAGUCCACACAGGUGAGGCACCAUGGCUCAUGCCUAUAAUCCUAACACUUUGGGAGGCCAAGGCAGGAGGAAUGCUUGAGCCCAGGAGUUCAAGACCAGCCUGGGCAACAUGGUGACACCCUGUCUCUAUAAAAAAAUACAACAAUUAGGCAAACGUGGUGGCAUGCACCUGUCAUCCCAGCUACCUGGGAGGCUGAGGUGGGAGGAUUGCUUGAGCCCAGGAGGCUGAGGCUGCAGUGAGCCAUGAUCCUGCCAGUACACUCCAGCCUGGGUGACAGAACAAGACCCUGUCUCAAAAACAAAACAAAACAAAAACAAAAACAAAGCAUCCACACAACUAGCAGGUGAAAAACUGGGGUUCAAACUCAGGCCUAUAACACUAAGGGCUGGGCCUGUCCCCACCAAAUCAGUCUUUCCUCAGACAGGCUGAGGUGUCCUCUAUAGACCAAAUAUCUGGAGGUCAGAACACUGAGACACUAGUUAUGUAAAGGCAGGGUGUGAGUUGGUGAGCUCAUCGAGAAAAUGCUUCCUGGGCUGGGUGCAGUGGCUCACACCUGUAAUCCCAGCACUUUGGGAGGCUGAGGUGGACAGAUCACCUCAAGUCAGGAGUUCAAGACCAGCCUGGCCAACAUGCUGAAACUCUGUCUCUACUAAAAAAUACAAAAAUUUGCCAAGCGCAGUGGCACAUGCCUGUAAUACUAGCUCCUCGGGAGGCUGAGGCAGGAGAACCGCUUGAACCCAGGAGGCAGAGGUUGCAGUGAGCCAAGAUUGCACCACUGAACUCUAGCCUGGGUGACAGAGCAAAACUCUGUCUCAAAAAAAAAAAAAGAAAAGAGAAAAAAGAAAGAGAGAGAAAGAAAGAGAGAGAGAAAGAGAAAGAAA